GACGAACCGUGCGAACGUUGUUCGGAUUCACUGGGCUUAAAGGGCGCGUAGGCGGCUUGCCGAGUCAGGGGUGAAAUCUUUCGGCUCAACCGGAAAACCGCCCCUGAUACCGGUAGGCUGGAGGGAGGUAGGGGCAGACGGAACUUCCGGUGGAGCGGUGAAAUGCGUAGAUAUCGGGAGGAACACCAGUGGCGAAGGCGACUACCUGGCCUGUUCUUGACGCUGAGGCGCGAAAGCUAGGGGAGCAAACGGG
rnacentral:rRNA from 1 species